UCGAGCGGAUGACGGGAGCUUGCUCCUUGAUUCAGCGGCGGACGGGUGAGUAAUGCCUAGGAAUCUGCCUGGUAGUGGGGGACAACGUUUCGAAAGGAACGCUAAUACCGCAUACGUCCUACGGGAGAAAGCAGGGGACCUUCGGGCCUUGCGCUAUCAGAUGAGCCUAGGUCGGAUUAGCUAGUUGGUGGGGUAAUGGCUCACCAAGGCGACGAUCCGUAACUGGUCUGAGAGGAUGAUCAGUCACACUGGAACUGAGACACGGUCCAGACUCCUACGGGAGGCAGCAGUGGGGAAUAUUGGACAAUGGGCGAAAGCCUGAUCCAGCCAUGCCGCGUGUGUGAAGAAGGUCUUCGGAUUGUAAAGCACUUUAACUUGGGAGGAAGGGCAGUAAGCUAAUACCUUGCUGUUUUGACGUUACCGACAGAAUAAGCACCGGCUAACUCUGUG
rnacentral:rRNA from 1 species